rnacentral:lncRNA from 1 species
GAAUGCCGAUCAGCUGACCUGAAAAGAGGGCAAAUAGCGUGCAUUAUGCAGGUGGCUCCAAUGCAAUUACAAGGGUCCUUAAAAGCUGAAGAGGGACUUGAAAGGAAGAGCUGACAAGAUGGCAAAAUGAGAAGGACACAUUUUGCUGAUGCUGCUGACUUAGAAGAUUGAGGAAUGUGUCAUGAAUCAAGGAAAACAGAGGAACUCUAGAAGUUGGAAUUUCUAGAAGCUGAAAAAUGUAAGAAAAUGAAUUCGCCCCUGGAGCCCCCAGAGAGGAAUGUAGCCCUGCUGAUACCUUGAGCUUAGCCACUGAGGUCCGUGUUGGAUUUACAACCCGCAAAACUGGAGUUACAGAAAUUAAGAAGCAUAUUGUCAUGAUAAUAACUGAAAAAGAACCAGGCACACACUCCACAACUGCAUUUUCUCCUUUACGUUCUGGACGUUAGAGUCUGGGGAUUUAUCUGCGGGGAAGGUGAUAAUUUGCUACAGUUCUCACUGAGACAGCCAUCUGGUGGCUUUGAAAUAUUGCACAGGAUACAGGAAGUGACUGGCAGGUGCAGCAGCGUCGAAUACUUUUUCCCUGAACACCGAAGACUGUGUGUAGUCAGCUAUUCCAGCUGCUCUUGCUUGAUGAUGCU